rnacentral:rRNA from 1 species
UACGUAGGGUGCGAGCGUUGUCCGGAAUUACUGGGCGUAAAGCGUGCGUAGGUGGUUUGUUAAGUCUGUUGUGAAAGCCCCGGGCUCAACCUGGGAAUGGCGAUGGAUACUGGCGGGCUAGAGUGCGGAAGAGGCGAGUGGAAUUCCUGGUGUAGGCGGUGAAAUGCGCAGAUAUCAGGAGGAACACCGAUGGCGAAGGCAGCCAUCUGGACCGACACUGACGCUGAGGCGCGAAAGCGUGGGGAGCAAACAGG